ACUAAGCAUAUCAAUAAGCGGAGGAAAAGAAACCAACAGGGAUUGCCUCAGUAACGGCGAGUGAAGCGGCAUCAGCUCAGAUUUGAAAUCUGGCCCCAUCGAGGUCCGAGUUGUAAUCUGUAGAGAGUGCUUCGGGUGAGACCACGGUCUAAGUCCAUUGGAACAUGGCGUCACAGAGGGUGAGAAUCCCGUAUGUGACUGUGGCUCGAGCCCAUGUGAAGCCUCUUCGACGAGUCGAGUUGUUUGGGAAUGCAGCUCAAAAUGGGUGGUAAAUUUCAUCUAAAGCUAAAUACUGGCUGGAGACCGAUAGCGCACAAGUAGAGUGAUCGAAAGAUGAAAAGCACUUUGGAAAGAGAGUCAAACAGUACGUGAAAUUGUUGAAAGGGAAGCGCUGGCAACCAGACCUGUCCGUAGGUGAUCAGCCGCUGUUUUCAGUGGUGCACUCGCUCUACGAUCAGGCCAGCAUCGGUUCUGGCGGUCGGAUAAAGGCCUUGGGAAUGUAGCUUCCUCUCGGGGGAGUCUUAUAGCCCUCGGUGCAAUGCGGCCAGCCGGGACCGAGGACCGCGCUUCGGCUAGGAUGCUGGCGUAAUGGUUGUCAGCGACCCGUCUUGAAACACGGACCAAGGAGUCUAACAUCUAUGCGAGUGUUUGGGUGUCAAACCCAUGCGCGGAAUGAAAGUGAACGGAGGUGAGAACCCUUAAGGGCGCAUCAUCGACCGAUCCAGAUGUCUUCGGAUGGAUUUGAGUAUGAGCAUAAAUGUUGGGACCCGAAAGAUGGUGAACUAUGCCUGAAUAGGGUGAAGCCAGAGGAAACUCUGGUGGAGGCUCGCAGCGGUUCUGACGUGCAAAUCGAUCGUCAAAUUUGGGUAUAGGGGCGAAAGACUAAUCGAACCAU
rnacentral:rRNA from 1 species